rnacentral:rRNA from 1 species
UGGUGAAGUGAUUUGUCUGUGUUAAUUCCGAUAACGAACGAGACCUUGACUUACAUGUUAUGUCUGAUAUGAUAAGUCUCAUUACAGCCUUUGGCUAGAGAUAAUUAUGUAUCAUACUGCGGAUCUUUGAAAUUAUUCUCUUUGAGAUUUUUGAUAAGUGAGCAGUUAGACAAACCUUGAAGGACGAUUCAUCUAUUUUAGUGAAAGGAAGAGCGAGG